AUUUAUUUAUUAUAUUUAAUUUACUAAAAUUCCACCACCACCUCCGUCCCCUCUUCUUCUUCCCCUGUCUCCUUCCCUCUCAGAUCUACCGAAUUUCAAUUCCAAUCCCCCACUCCCCCCUUCUCCAUCCGCCGACGCCGCUCCGAUCACCGUCGCCGAUUUCCCCCUAUUUUCCGACCCCAAAUUCUUCGCAAACACUCUCUCCGCUCGUAUUUGUGAAUGAUGUGGGGGACGAUUGCCAACCUCAAAGAGAAUCUCAACAAGAUCGCGCAGGACGUGCACGACGACAGCGACGAAGAGGAGUUUGAGAUCUACGCCUCAACCAAUGGAGGAGGCGGCCAAGGUUCGUCUAUUUCUGAUCGGAGAAACUCCCACAGCUUCGCGCAUUCCAAGUCGCCGUCGUCGCGCUCGCCGGUGUCGAAUGGCGGCGUCGGCUCCG
rnacentral:lncRNA from 1 species